GGAAGCGUGGCAGAGUGGUUUAAUGCUCGGGUCUUGAAAACCCGUGUGGGCAAUCCCCACCGUGAGUUCGAAUCUCACCGCUUCCGCCA
rnacentral:tRNA from 1 species